GCAUAUCAAUAAGCGGAGGAAAAGAAACCAACUGGGAUUACCUUAGUAACGGCGAGUGAAGCGGUAAAAGCUCAAAUUUGAAAUCUGGUACUUUCAGUGCCCGAGUUGUAAUUUGUAGAAUUUGUCUUUGAUUAGGUCCUUGUCUAUGUUCCUUGGAACAGGACGUCAUAGAGGGUGAGAAUCCCGUUUGGCGAGGAUACCUUUUCUCUGUAAGACUUUUUCGAAGAGUCGAGUUGUUUGGGAAUGCAGCUCAAAGUGGGUGGUAAAUUCCAUCUAAAGCUAAAUAUUGGCGAGAGACCGAUAGCGAACAAGUACAGUGAUGGAAAGAUGAAAAGAACUUUGAAAAGAGAGUGAAAAAGUACGUGAAAUUGUUGAAAGGGAAGGGCAUUUGAUCAGACAUGGUGUUUUUUGCAUGCACUCGCCUCUCGUGGGCUUGGGCCUCUCAAAAAUUUCACUGGGCCAACAUCAAUUCUGGCAGYAGGAUAAAUCAUUAAGAAUGUAGCUACCUCGGUAGUGUUAUAGCUUAUUGGAAUACUGCUAGCUGGGAUUGAGGACUGCGCUUCGGCAAGGAUGUUGGCAUAAUGGUUAAAUGCCGCCCGUCUU
rnacentral:rRNA from 1 species